rnacentral:tRNA from 1 species
UGGGGAGUAGCCAAGUGGUAAGGCAACGGGUUUUGAUCCCGUGUACCGGGGGUUCGAAUCCCUCCUCCCCAGCCA